rnacentral:rRNA from 1 species
CCAACAGGGAUUGCCUCAGUAACGGCGAGUGAAGCGGCAACAGCCUCAAAUUUGAGAUCUGGCUCACGCCCGAGUUGUAAUUUGUAGAGGAUGCUUCGGGUGAAGCCGCGGUCCAAGUCCCUUGGAACAGGACGUCAUAGAGGGUGAGAACCCCGUACCUGGCCGCCGGUGCCCCCCGCUGUGAAGCUCCUUCGACGAGUCGAGUUGUUUGGGAAUGCAGCUCUAAAUUGGUGGUAAAUUCCAUCUAAAGCUAAAUACCGGCCAGAGACCGAUAGCGCACAAGUAGAGUGAUCGAAAGAUGAAAAGCACUUUGAAAAGAGAGUUAAAAAGUACGUGAAAUUGUUGAAAGGGAAGCGCUU